CCCGGCAACGAGCGCAACCCCUGCAUUCAGUUGCCAUCGGGUAAUGCCGGGCACUCUGGAAGGACUGCCAUCGACAAGAUGGAGGAAGGUGGGGAUGACGUCAAGUCAUCAUGGCCCUUAUGUCCAGGGCGACACACGUGCUACAAUGGCCGGCACAACGGGAAGCGAGUUCGCGAGGACGAGCGGAUCCCUCAAAGCCGGUCGCAGUUCGGAUUGAAGUCUGCAACUCGACUUCAUGAAGCUGGAAUCGCUAGUAAUCGUGGAUUAGCCAAGCCGCGGUGAAUACGUUCCCGGGCCUU
rnacentral:rRNA from 1 species